rnacentral:tRNA from 1 species
GGAGAGUUAUCGAAGUGGUCAUAACGGGCCUGACUCGAAAUCAGGUAAUCCCUAACGGGACCGAGGGUUCGAAUCCCUCACUCUCCG